CCUAGUGUUUAUGGCGCGGUGGAACCACGCUGAUCCAUCCCGAACUCAGAGGUGAAACAUCGCAGCGGUGAAGAUAGUUGGAGGGUAGCCUCCUGCAAAAAUAGCUCAAUGCUAGGC
rnacentral:rRNA from 14 species